rnacentral:lncRNA from 1 species
AGAAAGAGAGAGAGCAGGAGAGAGAGAGACAGACAGAAUCCACUAGUAGAAUAAGCCAUGAUCACCACUCAAAACUUGGAGAGAGAGAGACAGACAGAAUCCACUAGUAGAAUAAGCCAUGAUCACCACUCAAAACUUGUAAGUUUACUUCUUUGCUAAUAGAUAUUGGAAUCAUUAAGUUUGCUCUUAAAAAAGUAUUUUUGUUUUGUUUUGUUUUUUCAGUUGCUACUACUUGAUCAGUACCUGGAAUUCUGAGGAAAACCCUAUUAGAGAUUGCAAAUCCAGUAAAUAAAGGCAG